rnacentral:RNase_P_RNA from 1 species
CAAGUCAGUCAGGCAAUCGCCGGCUUAUUGAAGCCCUUAAUGUCGCGAAAGCGUAACCUAGUGGGACAAGUAAGCGGGAGGAAAGUCCGGGCUACACAGGGCAGAGUGCCGGAUAACGUCCGGGAGGCGUGAGCCUACGACCAGUGCAACAGAGAGCAGACCGCCGAUGUCCGUGAGGGCAGGUAAGGGUGAAAGGGUGCGGUAAGAGCGCACCGUGUGGGUGGUAACAUUCCACAGCAGGGUAAACUCCACUCGUAGCAAGACCAAAUAGGAACUCAAUGAGCGGCCCGCUCAGAGUUCGGGUAGGUUGCUUGAGCGAUAGAGUAAUUUAUCGCCUAGAUGAAUGAUUGUCCACGACAGAACCCGGCUUAUCGACUGACUUACCAC